rnacentral:lncRNA from 1 species
AGAAUUAAAGAUUGGCAGUGGAUUAUUUAUUUAGAUGACAUGUCCCCAGUUACCCUUCUUUCCAGCUAAUUUUGAAGAUAUUACUAGUUAUUGAUUUGCUUAAUCAAUCGACAUUAUUGAUUUGGAAUGUAUCUAUUAUUUUCAUGAUUUGGUUUUUACUCCGUAUUCAAUAAAUCUAUUUAUACAUUCCACAUUCUGAAAUGGCUGUUGCAAAAGAAGAUGGGCAUUAUUUUCCCUCAGAAAGUUAGCAUCUUUUAGAGAACUGCAAACAAAGCCUUGUAUUGCAGGAGUGAUGAUUUCUGUCUCAAAUCAGUUGCUAUGCAGACUGAAAGCCAAUCCCCAGCCAUGCAACUGCAGCCUACCAACACUGCACAAUGCCACCCAGCAAGUACGGUACAGUUGUCAAUCGAUCGAUCGUUUACUUGCAUAGCUUCAUAGAAAAAUUAGCCAAUUCCGUAAAGAAUAUCUUAGUCCUGGUGCGUUUGUUCUGUUCAGUGUUCACUUGCCUUGGAAAUCAAGAUUCGAUCUGGAUAUCAUUUUAUAUUAUUGUGCCUGUGUGCUUACAACAUGAUCAGUUUGCAAUUUUCUAAGUAAUCCGUUGUCUUCUUGUAUCUUUAUCUAAGUGGAGCAUUUUUCGCCUAAGGCUCAGAGCAUCGCCUAAGGCUCACGAUUCAAUAAGUGGAGCAUUUUUAGGAUCAGCACAUUCAUCUAACAGUUUUAGGAUUCAAAUCGGCGCAUCAAAUUUUUCUGAAACAGUAGCACACUACAGUAUUCGGUUCCUUGUUCAGGAUAUGAUCCGUUUGGAUGCCUAAUUAUCAUAGUUAUUAAAUGGAGAGUUGUUAAAUGGAGAGUUGCCUAAUGAUCCGUUUGGAUGCCUAAUUAUCAUAGUUACCUGCUGUGUCUUAAUGUUUCAUUUCUUACUGUAACCACGUGCUCAUUGGUUGAUUCUAUUUAUCUUGUUUUGAUUGUAGUAGGUAGGGACCAGAGAGAUGUGCAGUUGUUGUUGCUGCAUUGCCAGCCCGUGGCCAUUUAGGAAACAAUAGCUACUUGACUCCUACUUACAUUUGUAGCUUUGCAGCUUCGCUCUUGUGACUUUGCUUUACAAUAGAGACUUAUUGGUUGCUAUGAUUUUUCAGGUGGUUAUAACCAGUGCACUAAUUGAAGGCAAACUACUCGUCAUUUUCUUCAUUGGUGUUUGUAGCAUUAGUAUGAAGGCAAGCUGCUCCUUA